CCUACGGGAGACUGCAGUGAGGAAUAUUGGUCAAUGGACGAGAGUCUGAACCAGCCAAGUAGCGUGAAGGAAGACUGCCCUAUGGGUUGUAAACUUCUUUUAUAAAGGAAUAAAACGAGGCACGUGUGCCUUUUUGCAUGUACUUUAUGAAUAAGGAUCGGCUAACUCCGUGCCAGCAGCCGCGGUAAUACGGAGGAUUCGAGCGUUAUCCGGAUUUAUUGGGGUUAAAGGGAGCGUAGAUGGGUUGUUGAGUCAGUUGUGAAAGUUGGGGGCUCAACCCUAAAAUUGCCAUUGAAACUGGCAGUCUUGAGUGCAGUAGAGGUAGGCGGAAUGCGUGGUGUAGCGGUGAAAUGCUUAGAUAUCACGCAGAACCCCGAUUGCGAAGGCAGCUUACCAACCUGUAACUGACACUGAUGCACGAAAGUGUGGGUAUCAAACAGGAUUAGAUACCCGAGUAGUC
rnacentral:rRNA from 1 species